GAUCCUGGCUCAGAAUGAACGUUGGCGGCGUGGAUUAGGCAUGCAAGUCGAGCGAGAAUUUGCGAUUGGAAGCUUCGGCCGAAGAAAGUGAAGGAAAGCGGCAAACGGCGUAGUAAGGCGUAGGUACGUACCCUCGGGUCGGGAAUAGCCAUGGGAAACUGUGGGUAAUGCCCGAUAAUCUCUGCGGAGCAAAGGUGUGAUUCCGCCGGAGGAGCGGCUUACGUGAUAUUAGCUAGUUGGUGGGGUAAUGGCCUACCAAGGCAACGAUGUCUAGGGGGUGUGAGAGCAUGGCCCCCACGACCGGAACUGAGACACUGUCCGGACACCUACGGGUGGCUGCAGUCGAGAAUCUUCCGCAAUGGGCGAAAGCCUGACGGAGCGACGCCGCGUGGUGGAUGAAGGCCCUUGGGUUGUAAACACCUGUCAGAGGGGAUGAAAUCAUGGUUGGCAAUCCUUCCAUGUUGACAGAGCCUCAGAGGAAGCACGGGCUAAGUACGUG
rnacentral:rRNA from 1 species